CCAAUUAUUAUUGCUCUACUAAACAGUGGACUCUUAGGAAUUGGGUAUACUUUGAGCUCUAAUACCCUAGCUUUCAAAAUUUAUUUUGCUUAAAAUAGACUAGAGAGGGCGAUACUUUAGUUUUUAAAUGAUUCAAAGAGGUAUGAGCACUGAAUAUGUUAGUUUGUGGUAAAAUAUCCCAAAGAAAUUUACCUCUCCAUCUAUGAACAAUGAUAUUUGUCCCUCCUGUCUUUGCUCUUGGGUAAUUUCUCGAAGAAACAAGAAAUUCAACAUGUUUUUAUGUCCAUUUUCGACAUACAAUUUGUGAUUUAAGCAAUUGAAAGUCUAUUUCAAUUUCUUCUCAUCAUCUCAUUCUCACCUGAUCUUUUGGGUUGAUCUUUUGUUUAAUUCAUCAUCUCAUACACUCAGUUUUGUUCCUUCUCCCUUGCUUCUGAUGUGUGCUUCGAAUGAAGAAGAUGGAUGCUUAUCGAAUCAAGAAAAUCAAUUUUCUUUUAUGGUAAUCCAUUUCCUUAGUGAUCAUCUACUCCAUUGCAAUUCUUUUGAGCUAUUGGAUUUCAAGUGCUCAAAUCUUUCUUUCCUACGCACGAUUCUCCUUUUCCCUCUUUCAUUGCUCAACAUUUUCUUAAUUUGUCGAUGAUACACAUGUUUUUUGCCCACACCCUCUUCUUUUACUGUUAUGAAUGUUGUGAUUUGAGUGCUCAUUUGGUGUGUGCAUUCAUGGUGAAUCUUGGGAUGGAAUCCCAUAAGUAUGUCAUGAAUGGGUGUGUUGUGAUUGGUGUGACUUGAGUGCACAUUUGAUGAGGUGCAUUCAUGUGUGAUCUUUGGGAUGGAAUCCCAUGAAUGUGUUAAUGUGAGUGUAUUAAGUUAAGUUUUGAUGAUUGAUUUAUGAUGGUGAUUAAAUAUGGAUUAAUAAGGUAAUGAAGUGUGAGAGUUAUGGGACUUAAUGAAGAAGUGGAAAGGUUGAUUCAAGAUGCUCUACUAUGCAAGUCGAGCAAAUACUGUCAGAAGCCUUUGAAGAGCCGCUCGACCGAGCGAGUUCCAGGUUGGGUCGAGCGAGCAGACAGAAUGCAACUAGAAGCUUAUUGAAGUCCGCUCGACCAAGUCACUCGACCGAGCGAACCCCUGUUUUGGUCGAGCGAAGUCUCUGAUACUCUAGAAUGUUGUUUUAUGACUCUUCAUGUACUUAGGGAUGUUUCAUUAUCAUCUAAUCAUAGCUUUAAUGUACUUAAUGUAACUUAGUGUGAUCUCUCCUAUAAAUAGAGAGCUCUCAAUCACAUUGUAAUUAUCCACAAAAAACAUACCCCAAGCCAAACACUAGCCUAUAUCUCUUCUCUGUUGUAAUUCUCCAUAUUUGAGAGUUCUUUGAACUCCUUUUGAUAAUAUAAGAGAUACUACACAUCGAAGGACGUAGCCUUAAUUGGGUGAACCUCGUUAAAUCUUUGUGUCGUUUUAUUGCUUUAUUUUCUCCUACAAACAUCAAUAUUAUUGAUAGCGUAAUUUGUUUGUCACAAAACCUCAUACACUCGAUCUUGGUAAUAUUGGAGUUUGAAACACAUUGUUCGAACUCUAAUACGUCGUCGUUUUCAGGGUGUAUUAAGAUAAGUCUUAAUAUUUGUGGUUUAUGAUGAUGAUUAAAGUAUGGAUUAAUGAGGUAAUGAAGUAUGAGUUAUUCAUGGAAGUUAUGGGACCUAAUGAAGAAGUUCAAAGGUUUAAGAUGCUCUACUAUGCAAGUCGAGCAAUACUGUCAAAAGCCCUCUGAAGUGCCGCUCGACCAGCUCGCUCGACCGAGCGAGCUUUAGAAUGGGUCGAGCAAGCAGAUAGAAUGUAACCAAAAACUUCCUGCAGCCCGCUCGACCAGGUUGCUUAACCGAGCGAGCCUCUACUUUGGUCGAGCGAUGUCUCUGACGCUCCUAAGAUGCUGUUUUUGACUCUUCAAGUUCUUGGAGAUGUUUCAUUAUCAUUUAUUCAUAGUGUUAAUGUACUUAAUGUUACUUAGUGUGAUCUCUCCUAUAAAUAGAGAGCUCUCAUUCACAUUGUAAUCAUCCACAAAAUAUACCUGAAGCCAAACACUAGCCUAUAUCUCUUUUCUAUUGUAAUUCUCCAUAUGAUAAUAUAAGAGAUACUACACACCGGAGGACGUAGCCUUAGUCUGGUGAACCUCGUUAAAUUUUUGUGUCGUUUUAUUGCUUUACUUUCUCCUACAAACAUCGAUAUCAUUGAUAACGUAAUUUGUUUGUCACUAAACUUCAUACAUUCGAUCUUGGCAAUAUUGGAGUUUGAAACACAUUGUUCGAACUCUAAUACAUCAUCGUUCUCAUUUACUAUUGAGUAUCCUCAAGAAUCUUCAAUGAUCUCUACUUUUCCCCUUCACGUGCUUUACUUUUAGCCAAUUUCCGCUGCAUAUCAGUUUAUUUAUCCUUGCACACAUCCAUGGCCUCAUUCUUUUGUUCUUUCCAACUCAUUCAUUACUUUAAAUGUUUUAGGGAAAAUCUUACUUAUUCAAUGUAUCAAGCCUGAAAAUGUGAAUUUUUUACUAGCUUAAUUAACUUCUCGUAAACAAUGGUGUGUCAUUUUGAGACAAUGGGUUUAAAUCUCCUACACUGAGGUAUAUAUUUUAACCACUGUUACUCUAGUUAAGUUGAUUUCUUGAAUUGUAUUUUUGUUCAAAUUUAGAUUCUGUGUUGUUUUAAAAGGUAUAUAUUUUUGAUUUAUAUACACAUUUUGAUUUGUGCACAUAUAGCUGAACCUCAUAUACACAUUCUAAUUUGUGCACAUUAUGGAAGUUGCAGCUGAAAAACAUCAAAAACCAAAAUGCAAAAAAAUAAGGAAUCAAUUGGAAAAAAAUACCUGUUUUUUCAACAGAUUGUGUACCUCUUUCUUCCAAUUUCCAAAGAAGUCAUUGAGAAGCCCUAAAAUUUGAAAAAGCCCCAAUAUUUACAACAUCAAAGAAUCACUGAGAUUUCAUCCCACAAUCAAGCAUUGAUGUUACUCAAUAAAAAUUAAGAAACCUUAAUCAGAUUUUUUUGUUCAACAAAUCAAAAAACAAACUAACACAAUAAAGCAAACCCAACUCAAUAGUCCACAACUUAGGGUAAAUUAAUCUAAAAUGUGAACAAAAAACAUCAAAAAACAAUUAGGUUUUGAUAAAUCUAUAACCUAAUAAAAAUGUGAACUUACUUUGAACAUAAACAAUAAAAAAAAAGAGUUUAUGGUACAUUCCAAAACACACAACAAAUAAAAAAUGGAGUACUAAAGAAAAAAACAUAAAAAAACAUAUAAUAAUAAGAACAUGUGGAAAUAUAAUGUGAAAGGUAAUUAAUAGAUUUACCCUAAUGUGAAUGAAGUCAAUGUAAUUGUAGGUAGAACUUGCCUAUAAAUAUAGAAGUUCACCCAUGUAGAAAUGACACCAAUGAGUAAAAAUCUUUUUACUCAUUCUAUUUUCUUCUUAUCUCUCUAAGUUUUACCACGUUAUCAGAACCAGCUUUACCCUUAAUAAUAAAGAAGGUAAAUAUUUUUUAAACCUAAUUAAACAUUUUUUUAAUGGUACCACAAAUGAACCAACAAUCAAAUGGUAUCAACAUCGUCAUCCAAGGUGUUUCUAACACAUUUUUAUAUUUGAUAAUUGAACAUAAUUCCAUACCCUUCACUAAAACCCGAUAAGGACUGAUUUAAAUCAGCUCCUACAUAAUAAUCCCAAUGAUACUAAUGGUACACCAGUACCACCAAUUCGUAAUUCAUAUAUACGACCAACUAAUAAUUCACUAGUCCCACCGACUAAUAUUCGACCAGUACGACCAACAAAUAAUUCACCAAGACAACCAACUAAUAAUGCUCCAACAACAUCAACUGAAAAUAAACCCACAUCAAGUAAUAAAAGAACUAAAGAUGAUGAGGGAGAAACAAGUACUAAAUGUUGUAAGACAAAUAACUCAUAAAAUAAUUUAUUGGACAAUACGUCACCUUUAUGGAUGGCAAGGACAUUUUAUUGCUUUUGUUAUUAUUUUUUUAUUUUAUACCGCCUAUAUGGUUGGUUAACUAUUUUUUUACCGCCUCAAUAAUGGACGGUUAGAACUAUUUAUUUCUUUUGUUAUUAUUUUUUAAACCGCCUAUAUGGUUAGCUAAUUGUUUUUCUUUUACCGCCUAAAUGGACGGUUAACAUUUUUUUUUUCAUUCUUGUAUAUUUUAUUAUGAGCAUUUUUAUUUGUUGUAUUUGCAUUUAUAUCUAUGUGCAUUUUUUUCAUUUACCUUUUACUUUAUGUAUUUUUUUAAGUACACAUAAAUUAAUAUAGUAUAUUGUAGAAUUUGGGAUCACCCUCUAUAAAAACGGAUUACCCCAAUUUUUUUACCACACACCUCUUAUCCUUUCAACUUUACUCUUUACAUUAAAAACCCUCUUUCCCCUUUCUCCAUCCACCGAUAAUGUAUUCCCAUAAUAAAAACAACAUAUCUUGAUCCUUUUAAUAAAGCAAGUACGUCAAUGCCUAAUCUUGAUCUCUUAGACUUUUAUUUAAAUGGCGAUGAAAAUGAAAACAAAUAAUGCCGAAGAUAUUUGAAUUUUUCUUAACAAUGUUGUGAUGCUUAUUUAAUUGUAUUUCCUUUUUAUGUGCAAUAUUUUUUAUGUAUUGAUAUUAUCUAAUGUUAAUGAAAUUU